GCAAAUUUCCCUAAAUGCUGACAUGAUAGUCAAUUUUCUGUAGCUUUCUUGCAUCAUCAUUUGGAAUCUUUUUUUAACUCUUGUAGCUGUAAUACUUCACAUCAUACUCUUUCUUCUAUCUGUCUUCAUUUUCUUCAUUGUUCAUUAUUGUACUUUUACCAAUUAUUCAUUUAUAGGGAUAGAGUAUAAGAAUGCACUUUCCAG
rnacentral:misc_RNA from 1 species